rnacentral:rRNA from 1 species
AGCGAACGCUGGCGGCAGGCUUAACACAUGCAAGUCGAGCGGGCAUCUUCGGAUGUCAGCGGCAGACGGGUGAGUAACACGUGGGAACGUACCCUUCGGUUCGGAACAACUCUGGGAAACUGGAGCUAAUACCGGAUACGCCCUUAUGGGGAAAGGUUUACUGCCGAAGGAUCGGCCCGCGUCUGAUUAGCUAGUUGGUGGGGUAACGGCCUACCAAGGCGACGAUCAGUAGCUGGUCUGAGAGGAUGAUCAGCCACACUGGGACUGAGACACGGCCCAGACUCCUGCGGGAGGCAGCAGUGGGGAAUAUUGGACAAUGGGCGCAAGCCUGAUCCAGCCAUGCCGCGUGAGUGAUGAAGGCCUUAGGGUUGUAAAGCUCUUUUGUCCGGGACGAUAAUGACGGUACCGGAAGAAUAAGCCCCGGCUAACUUCGUG